ACAAUUCGCCAGUCGAGGUUUUGGACAUGAAAAAUUCUGUUUAGACGAUAAAUUAAGUAGCGAAGCAACGUGAGUCGUAUACCCCAGAAAACAAGCGCGAAGUGAAGAUUUUGACUGAGGUGUCCCUCCCUCCAUCGAAAAGAAACGGCUGUAAGCGGUGGAAAAAUAUGCAGCAGCAACUGCAGGCACCGGCCGUCACAACCCCACAGACGGAGCCGGCGGAAUCCGGCGAAACACAAGCGGAUGCACCGCCAAAGCAGGUGGCCAUGGCAAUGGAGAGUCUGGGGCGCGCCAGUCGUCUAAUCGCUGACAUUAGGAUAGGUGCAGAUCGUCUCCUCGAAGCGCUUUUUGUGACCACACAGCCUCAUCAAUCCAACAAACCCCUACAUUUGAUCCUCAAAGAGGAGGCUUUGAUGCGUCAACACUUUCAAGAUCUCCGAGCCAUUGGAAGGCAACUGGAAGAUUCCGGGGUUCUCACUGGAUCUCUUCGUUCGCGAAGUAAUUCUUGGGGUUUGCACAUGCCUCUUGUUUGUCCAGAUGGAGCUGUUGUUGCUUAUGCUUGGAAACGUCAACUAGCUGGCCAGGCUGGUGCAUCAGCUGUUGACAGAGCCAGGUUGGCUCUUAAGGCAUUCACUGAUCAGAAGAGGCGAUUCUUUCCACAUCUUGAAGAUGAACCAUUAGGCCAAACUUCUGCUGGGGAAUCUUUAACUUUGAAGAAACAUUGCAGUUCCCAGGCAUCACUAGCAAGUCUCAAAGAAGAGUUUACUGAGUACAAAACAUUAUCUGAUUUUCUAAUGCGCUUGGAAAAGGAGGCACCUAAUGUUAGAAUUUUCACUUACCAACGCCUAGACUGGUUGAAAAGGGCUUCAUCAUUGUUGUCUUCAGCUAAAGAGAAUUCAGUAGAAUCGUCCAAGGAGCAUAAUUUCGUUAGUUCAAAUAAAUUAAGAACUGGGUCUCUGGGAGCUGUUGCUUCGGAUCAGAUUGCUGUUGUUGAGUUGGUGGUGCCUUCUGUUUUCAGAGUGAUAGUAUCAUUGCAUCCACCUGGUUCCAUAGAUCCUGAUGCAGUAGCAUUCUUUUCUCCGGAUGAGGGAGGAAGUUACAUUCAUUCAAGAGGGUUUUCAGUUUAUCAUGUAUACAGACACAUCUCGGAACAUGCUGCCAAGGCAUUGCAGUAUUUUCUUGGUAUUAACGCUGAUACAACACUAUAUCUUCUUUUGCAUUGGAUCUGCAGUUAUCAAACACUGUUUACAAAAGUUUGCAGUAAGUGUGGGCGGCUUUUGACUAUGGAUAGUGCAUCGGCUUUGCUGUUGCCUCCUGUUCAUCGUCCUUAUUGGCACUCUUCUGCUACUAAAAGCUCAUCAACCCCAUCAUCCUUGUCAACUAGAGACCGAAGCUUAGAUCUCUCAACAACAGCAUACCAUAUUGGGUGUUCCUCAGAUGAAGUGUAGCCACUUCCAUACUUGUCAUUAUCAUUAGCUCAGAUGUUGCACUUUGCAUAGUUGUCACAGCGCCUAGGCGACCCAAGGCGUUGGAGGGGUGACAAGUUGCCCUAAGCAUGCUGUACAUGACUAUGCUUCACAUUCAGAAUACAAGAUUCGAGAGUUUGAAAUCAGGAGCAUUGUAAGAUCAAUCCGUUCUUUCAAGGAUGAUUCUACCAUCAUUGUAAUUUGAUCUCAGAAUUCAGAGAUUGAAAUCAAUUAAAAUUCCUCACCUUAGAUCUAACAAAUCUUGGUUAUAAAUGGUGCUAUAGUAUGCAUAAAUACAUUUGCGAGUGUAGGUUAUGUUUCAUUGUUAGAUAUUCAUAUUAAGUGAUGCCCUUCCUUUUGUACCCAGCUGCUUUUCGCCGGGGGUGGGGGGGGCGGGGAACGUGACUGUAAUUGUACAUAUCAGAUACUACCGGGUUUUUCGAGUUUUAUUUUCUUCCCUUUUGUUAGGUAUGAUCUAAAUGAUACCCUUGGAAUGUGGCACGUACCUGAUUAUGCUUGUUAUAGACAGUGGUUACCUUUCAUUAUCAUGUUUGGGAAUGACAAAUUACAGGUUUUGCUGUCAUGAAGUAAGCUGAUUUUUUGCCAA